rnacentral:rRNA from 1 species
GGUGGGCCCGCGUCUGAUUAGCUAGUUGGCGGGGCAACGGCCCACCAAGGCGACGAUCAGUAGCCGGCCUGAGAGGGUGGGCGGCCACAUUGGGACUGAGACACGGCCCAAACUCCUACGGAAGGCAGCAG